rnacentral:rRNA from 1 species
UACGUAGGUGGCAAGCGUUUGUCCGGAUUUACUGGGCGUAAAGGAUGCGUAGGCGGAUGUUUAAGUGAGAUGUGAAAUACCCGAGCUCAACUUGGGUGCUGCAUUUCAAACUGGAUAUCUAGAGUGCAGGAGAGGAAAGCGGAAUCCUAGUGUAGCGGUGAAAUGCGUAGAGUAUAGGAAGAACACCAGUGGCGAAAGGCGGCUUC